GGCGGCAUGGCCAAGCGUUAAGGC
rnacentral:tRNA from 1 species